UAAAACACCAGUUCCCAUAUAAUCACUGAAGUUAAGCAAUGUUGAGCUUGGUCAGUACCUAGAUGGAUGACCGCUUGGGAAUAACAGGUGU